GGGCCCGCACAAGCAGUGGAGUAUGUGGUUUAAUUCGAAGCAACGCGAAGAACCUUACCAGGGCUUGACAUGCAGGUGAAUGCAGUAGAGAUAUUGCAGUCCUUCGGGACACCUGUGCAGGUGGUGCAUGGUUGUCGUCAGCUCGUGUCGUGAGAUGUUGGGUUAAGUCCCGCAACGAGCGCAACCCCUGUUGUUAGUUGCCAUCAUUAAGUUGGGCACUCUAACGAGACUGCCGGUGACAAAUCGGAGGAAGGUGGGGACGACGUCAAAUCAUCAUGCCCCUUAUGUCCUGGGCUACACACGUACUACAAUGGCUAUUAACAGCAGGGAGCUAAGGCGUAAGCCGGAGCGAAUCCUCAAAAAUAGUCUCAGUUCGGAUUGUGGGCUGCAACCCGCCCACAUGAAGUCGGAAUUGCUAGUAAUGGCAGGUCAGCAUACUGCCGUGAAUACGUUCCCGGGCCUU
rnacentral:rRNA from 1 species